rnacentral:rRNA from 1 species
CCUACGGGAGGCAGCAGUGGGGAAUAUUGCACAAUGGGGGGAACCCUGAUGCAGCAAUGCCGCGUGGGUGAAGAAGCACUUCGGUGCGUAAAGCCCUGUCAGCAGGGAAGAAAAUGACUGUGCCUGACUAAGAAGCCCCGGCUAACUACGUGCCAGCAGCCGCAGUAAUACGGAGGGGGCAAGCGUUAUCCGGAUUUACUGGGUGUAAAGGGAGCGCAGGCGGGGUGGCAAGUCAGAUGUGAAAGCCCGGGGCUCAACCCCGGGAGUGCAUUUGAAACUGCCAUGCUGGAGUGCAGGAGAGGUAAGCGGAAUUCCUAGUGUAGCGGUGAAAUGCGUAGAUAUUAGGAGGAACACCAGUGGCGGAGGCGGCUUACUGGACGGUAACUGACGCUGAGGCUCGAAAGCGUGGGGAGCAAACAGGAUUAGAUACCCUGGUAGUC